rnacentral:rRNA from 1 species
CCUACGGGAGGCAGCAGUGAGGAAUAUUGGUCAAUGGACGAGAGUCUGAACCAGCCAAGUAGCGUGAAGGAUGACUGCCCUCUGGGUUGUAAACUUCUUUUUUAUGGGAAUAAAUUGUUCUACGUGUGGGAUUUUGUAUGUAUCAUAUGAAUAAGGCUCGGCUAAUUCCGUGCAAGCAGCCGCGGUAAUACGGAGGAUCCGAGCGUUAUCCGGAUUUAUUGGGUUUAAAGGGAUCGAAGGUGGAUUGUUAAGUCAGAUGUAAAAGUGUGGGGCUCAACCGUAAAAUUAUAGGUGAAACUGGCAGGCUGGAGUACAGUAGAGGUAGGCGGAAUUCGUGGUGUAGGGGUGAAAUGCUUAGAUAUCACGAAGAACUCCGAUUGCGAAGGCAGUUCACUGGACUGCAACUGACACUGAGGCUCGAAAGUGUAGGUAUCAAACAGGAUUAGAUACCCGUGUAGUC